CACUCUAAGCGGUGGAUCACUCGGCUCAUGGGUCGAUGAAGAACGCAGCAAACUGUGCGUCAUCGUGUGAACUGCAGGACACAUGAACAUCGACAUUUUGAACGCAUAUCGCAGUCCAUGCUGUUUGGUACUUUAAUUACACUAGCGUGGCUAGUGUAG
rnacentral:rRNA from 1 species